GAUUAUUAUAGAUUGAUGGAACCAUCGUGGCACCAGAUGAGCCUAGCCAAUGGGACCCUAAAUUUCAAAGGGUUUGGCUCCAAUUUUCUAAACUACAAGGAACUGUAUUCCAAGGGAAUGGAGUUAUAGAUGGUUCUGGUACCAAAUGGUGGGCUGCUUCUUGCAAAAAGAACAAGUCUAACCCUUGCGUAGGCGCACCAACGGCACUAACUAUAUAUUCAAGUUCAAAUGUUUAUGUGAGAGGCAUAACAAUCCGGAACAGCCAACAAAUGCAUUUGAUCAUAGCUCGAUCAAACACAGUUCGAAUCUCUAGAGUUAUGGUCACAUCUCCAGGAGAUAGUCCCAACACCGAUGGAAUUCA